rnacentral:rRNA from 1 species
UACAGAGGGGGCAAGCGUUAUUCGGAAUUAUUGGGCGUAAAGGGCGCGUAGGCGGCCUGGCAAGUGGAAGGUGAAAUCCCUCGGCUUAACCGAGGAACUGCCCUCCAAACUGCUUGGCUUGAGUCCGGGAGAGGUGAGUGGAAUUCCCAGUGUAGCGGUGAAAUGCGUAGAUAUCAGGAGGAACACCGGUGGCGAAGGCGGGUCUCUGGGCCGUAACUGACGCUGAGGAGCGAAAGCAUGGGGAGCGAACAGG